GGCAGAGACACAGGAGGAGGGAGAAGCAGGCUCCAUGCCGGGAGCCCGACGUGGGACUCGAUCCCAGGACUCCAGGAUUGUGCCCUGGGCCAAAGGCAGGCGCUAAACCGCUGAGCCACCCAGGGAUAUCUGUGACACUUGAUCCUGAUCCUGAAGACUUGGUAGCUCUUUACCCUUGUCCACCAUGUUCUUGGAAGGUCAUUAGUGGGUCUUUUUGCCCUUCAUCUUCUUAUUGGAUUCCCCCAGCACAGAACUCUGGCAGGAAACUGAAAGAAGGGAGAAGAGUGAGGUCAAAGCAUUUGCUUUGUUGGCUCCUUCCACAAGAAGUCAUCUGGGAUUGGCUGCUUCCCCCAGCUGAGGGUCAUUGGGACUCUAAACCUGGCCAAGUCAACUUGUCCUUUAAGGAUCAGGUGUGUUAUGGGAUGUAUGAUUCUGGAAAGCUGGCCUGGAGCGAGAUUGAUGUGGACCUUGGAUUCUCUGCCAGGGGUUUUGAACUUUUUGCUGCUGAGAAGAGGAGCCAUUAAAGGACAAAUUGAAGAUCAUUAAGAACUUCUUCUCCCUCCGAUGAGUCCUUCUGCCUCAAUGUGCCAUGAGGCUAUCGUAUUUGCCUCCCUCUGUGUGCACAGUUGAUGAGCAUAUCACACAGUAGAGGCUAAAGUGGCCACAAGAGGCUGCGUUGAGGUUGCUGGAGAAGAGAGAAGCACACGGCCAGAGAGAAGGUUCAUGGGAUGUCCACUAUUUAGAUGCCUGAAUUCAGAGUUAGCCAUGUCUUGGCUCUUGGCAAUUCCUAAGGAAAUUCUGGAUGACGACCCUUGGAAGACUUUCUGGCCCAGGAGGGGCACCCGAGAGCAAAAAACGAGAGAGCCGAGUUUUAUCGGCCAGGCGGCCCGUGCUUAAAGGUGACAUUCGAGAGAACAAUCGCUAGGUUGUUUGGUCACCUUUGCUGGUAUGAAUGAAGCUUAAGAAAAGCUGUCUUUGGAUUGCUACUAAUAGUCAUCUUCAUCAUGCCUGCUCUCCCUCUCUCUCUCCCUCUCCCUCGCCCUCUCUCUCUCUCUCUCUCUCUCUUUCUCGGUUCCCUUAUGAAAUAAAGGCACACAGGUAAUAAACAAAGCACUAUAAAAGAUCAGAUUGACGUGUUCUGUGGCUCAUUCAAUGUCAGGAGCAAGCCUCCUGCGCUCCGCUGCUAGUGCUUGCGGCACCAAAAGCUGGGCCAGGACCGAGGGAUGGUGGUGGGAUGAGGCUAGACCCCCUUCACCCAUCCUGGAACCUUGCUGAAUUCAUCAGGGCCAUGGCCUGGGUCCGCUAACCCACACCUGACGCCCGAGGGACAAAGGACAAGAUGGCAGGGUAGAGACCCUUGGAUUUGCUCCUUUUGGAUUUUUGGAUUCGGACCUGACUUUCUUUGUCAAUCCUCAUGCCCGAUCCAGUGGUCAAAGAAGGAGGAGACUCAACAGCUGUUUCUUUCUCCCUUCAUUUUUCCAACAAAGAAGCUUCAUGAGAACAUUAACACCGAAAGAAAAUUGUGUUCACUGCAGGACUUUUCAAGGAUCGGUGGAAAGAUUUAUGUAAACAAAUUAUUCAGUUCUUCCUUUGGUGACCUUGGUCCUAAGAGUGAAUGAGAUGAUCCUAUGGCUUUUUGCCCUUUCCUCAAUACAGAAGCUGCAGACUGCGCUCAGCAAGACCUCACCAAAUGGAGGAAAAUUAAAGAGAGAAAUGGUCCAUGGUGUAUUCUUAACCGCCAUAAAUUGGCGUCAUUUUGGCCACCAUCCAGGAGAGAGACACCAGCCUACAGAAACAGAGAAAGAAGAUCAGAAGCCGAUGGAAGGAAGGGAGAUGCGACUUCGCUGGGGAAGAGAGGACUAUCCUCUGCUCCCAUCGCUCACUCACUGAACAACAUUACCCAGCACCUACGUUGAGUGGAAUAAGGCGGGCCACUGUCUUCCAAAGCUUUUAGCGUCAGCCUCCAUGAACAGUGGCUCGACAUCUCUGCAGCAUCAGCCCAGAUGUUGGCUUCUGCCCCAACCAAAGCAUGAUGACCAGGAAGGUGACAUGUCCCCAGCCAGCCAGUCACCACCAGGACCUGCUGCUCCCUCCUUUAUUACUAGGGCUCUGGGGGUGUGGGGGCGGGGUGUGGAAAAUCAGCAAACCUGACUGGUUCAAAUGGAUUUCCACUCUUUACAUUCAAGCAUUUUGGGUUUGAGGAAACCCCAAACAUUUUGAGCCCUGGGCACUUUUUCCAUUAAUUUUUUAAACUGAUGUGUAUGUCAAGGGAAAUUUAAUACGUCGGUUUCUGAUUCAUUUACACUUAACUCUUCAAAAUAUUGUUCUGUAAGAGGCAUUCGGUGUCCAAGAAAUCUUAAGAGCCUUUUUAUAAGCUUUUAAACUUCUUUUAAAUGUUUAAGAAACAGAAGUUGCAGUCUCCCCAAUGUAAACAGGAGGGAAUCCCUGGUGGCAGGGAGGGAAGAAAGGAGGGAGGAGGGAGGUGGAAGGAAGGCGCCCAGACAUACUGACCUCAGUCCCUGAGGGACACCAGCCCAGGCCCGGUGCUCGCAACCCCCUCCUGGUGCUCCAUGCCUCACCCACAGUCGGGGGAACAAUUGCUUCCACCUUCUUGAAUCCUGAAGGCAAAGGCAAACUCUUGUAGGGGUCCCGCUGUUGGCAGAGAAAGCUCCCAAGUGUUCUCUGCAGAAGAAGGCUACAGACUCCAAGAUUUUACUUCCAGGCAAGACCCUUUUUUUCCCUUCAAAGAAAGUGCUCAUAAUGUGUCCUUUCAUUUAUAAUUUUAUGAACGUCUCAAUUGAACAUGUAAAGAAAGUGGAAAAAUUCGAAGUUGCCAUGGAUGUUUGGCAUUCUUCCUCACUCUGCUAAAAUCUACUUUCUCCCCCAAGCGAAAUGGUUUCAGAGAUUCCCAUAAAAGGGGGAGGAGAGCAGUGAGGGCGGCCGUCUGGAAUCAGGGUCUUCAUGAAAAUACAUUUGUAUUUUAAUUAUAUGAGUAUGAUCUGCUUAGGUUUUCACCCUAUUUCACUUGGCUUUCUAUGUUAAAAGCAAGCGUUACAUUUCAUAAUGCCCGUAACUUCCGUAAACAGGCACUCGUGUAUUUUAUCUUGUUUUGCCAACUGGCUCUACCAAGCGGUAGAUGUUGUAGAAUCCAGCAUCUUUUGUACAGUUUCAUUUGUUUGUUGCGUAUUGUUUUUAUUUUUCCACUUUUCUAAAAAAGAGAGAGAGAGAGAGAGAAAACUCAGAAUAGAAGAAUUCUCAGUGAUAAAAAUUUUGUUCUGUUUUUGGAUUUUUUUAAAAUUCUCAUAGUUUCUAGGAAAUAACAGAAAGCAUUCAUAUUCAGAAAAGGAAAAAUGUUAGCACUUCUCUUGAGAUUCACCAAAUAUAUUAAGUGAGCUUUGUUGUUGUUGGUAUCAGCAAUAUCUGUUUUUCUUCUGCCUUGUUUUAAACAGAUUCAGGCCCUCUGAAAACUGAUGUUUUACUCACAUUGAGAUAUAUUUUCUUUUAUUCUCUUAGGUGAUUUCAGGGGCAGAGACCAAGAUCAUGCAGAUGCUGUAGGAGUUGGUGGUAUUGUAGCGAGUCAACAAAUAAAGGAGGAGAGAGAUUAAGCCAGGCAAAACCCUUAUCACGAGAGUGCAGGAUGAAUGUGUUUUGGGAAUGCCAUGCCUUACCUCGGGCUCCAGUGCCAAUAUAGAUCCUGUGUGCUCAUCCUUUGCAAGGACCUUUCUAACAGAACCUCUUAGGGGAAACCUGGGUGGCUCACCGUUUGGGCAUCUGCCUUUGGCGCUCGGGGCAUGAUCCCAGAGUCCCAGGAUCGAGUCCUGCAUUGGGGUCCCUGCAUGGAGCCUGCUUUUCCCUCUGCCUGUGUCUCUGCCUCUCUCUGUGUGUCUCUCAUGAAUAAAUAAAUAAAAUCUUUUUUUAAAAAAAUAAAUAAUAGAGCCUCUUAGGAUACCUAUUUCUCAACCUGAUCAAAUGCAUGUUGCUGUAUGUAUGUCCAGCCUCAUGGGUAAGGAAUUUCUGACACUUCUGUGCUGUCUGAUGGAUAUAUGGAUAUUUUUGAGGAUAUUGGAUUGAGAAAUUCUUCCAGGAGUUCCAAAAGGAACAUGAAAAACAUCCUUCCAAAAAGCAGAGUGGAUUUCUGGGCACGUUAGGAUAGUUAUCUCUCACUUAUUACUUAAAUGUCUUUCUUUUAAGUAAAAUUUCAAAUAGCAUCAUUAUUUUUAUAGUCCCUCCAAGUAUGCUGUAGUUUAUUGUACUGUUAAAUUUUUGGCGUUCUUCUCACUUUUCUUCUGUUGAGGAAAAGCUAGUAUAAAUUUUGUAUCUUUAUAAUUACUUCUGAAUUUUUAAACUCUUUUGAAUAUGUACAAAGCCUAGGGUGUGCCUCUUACUACGACAAAGUAUCAGUAAUACAAUCACCAAUGUCACAUACUUGCGGCUUGAUUUAUCAGUUGACAAAGGAAAUUCUUGUCAAUGGAGAAACACAUAUGUUCAGCAAGGUUCUCUAUUUACUUAAUUUUGAAUCAAAGUUUCUGUAAAAAGAAAAUUCAACUGAUGUUAAAAGAGCUGACACUUAUUGAAUAAUUACUUUCUGUUAGAUUUGUGAUCAUUCCAUUUAACUGACAAGUGCUCCAUUUCAUACCUGAAAAAACUGUGGUUCUUAAAGAAGUCACUUGAGGGGCACCUGGUGGCUCAGCUGGUUGAGCAUCUGGCUCUUGGUUUUGACUCAAGUCAUGAUCUCAGGGUUGCGGGAUCGAGCCUUGGGUUGUGCUCCAUGCUCAGAGGGGUUUGCUUCUCUCUCCUUCUACCCCUGCACCUUCCCUGUCUAAGAGAAAUUUUAAAAGAUAAAGAAGUCCCUUGAUGCAAAUUAUCAAUUAGACCAAUACAGCUGCUUGCAGUGCCAGGUUAAUUGAUGUUGUCUGGAUAAUCUCUUUAUGAUGUGUUAAUGACCCAGUAUCUGAACAGGGACCUCUGGAUCAAAAACAUGUAACAGAGAUGUUCACAAUUUCUUUGUCAUAGAAUUUUGUUUAAGUUUAUAUGAAUAGCUUUUAUACCCAGAGGCAUGUUUGUUCAGUUUUGUUGUAUAUGUAUAUUUUUAGUUGUUACUUGUUUGCUGAUUCACUUACUCAAGGAAUGCUGACUAUUGGCUUGAUAAGGCAGGAAAUAGAAAGGUAAAAAAGGCCAAAAAAAAAGACUCGAUAAGGGUUUUGCCUGGUUUAAUCUCUCUCCUACUUUAUUUUUUGACUCACUACAAUAUCACCAACUCCUACAGCAUCUGCAUGAUCUUGGUCUUUGCCCCUGAAAUCACCUAAGAGAAUAAAAGAUAAUAUAUCUCAAUGUGAGUAAUACAUCAGUCUUCAGAGGGCCUGAAUCUUUUUAAAACAAGGCAGGAGAAAAACAGAUAUUGCUGAUACCAACAACAACAAAAUUGGCUUUGAGUGUAUAAUCUAGUAGGGGAGAUACAGAGAGAAAUAAUUAGAAAACUAUGUAAGAAGUUCUGAUGUGGGUAUUUUGCAAAAACACUUAGCUUGAUCUGAUGUCUCCUUUCUUCCUUCCUUUCUCUUUCUUUCUUUCUUUCUUCCUUCCUUCCUUUCUCUUUCUUUCUUUCUUUCUUUCUUUCUUUCUUUCUUUCUUUCUUUCUUUCUUCUUUCU